rnacentral:rRNA from 1 species
UACGAAGGGGGCUAGCGUUGUUCGGAAUCACUGGGCGUAAAGCGCACGUAGGCGGAUCUUUAAGUCAGGGGUGAAAUCCCGAGGCUCAACCUCGGAACUGCCUUUGAUACUGGGGAUCUCGAGUCCGGGAGAGGUGAGUGGAACUGCGAGUGUAGAGGUGAAAUUCGUAGAUAUUCGCAAGAACACCAGUGGCGAAGGGCGGCUCACUGGCCCGGAACUGACGCUGAGGUGCGAAAGCGUGGGGAGCAA